GGCCGGGGCGAGCCUCCCUCCGUGUUUCUGUGUUUCUGAUCUGUGGGGGUGACCAGCCCGUGGGCUCCCCGGCCCUGCACCAGCCCCGCCUACAGCAAACCCCCCUCCACUUGCUGGAGAGCAGAGUUUUGCUGUGGGGCGACUCUCCCCUCGUGUCGCCAUCUGCACGGCAGCUUUCAAGAUUCUCCUGCUCAGCGGGGCCACAUGGAUGAGAUCCUCUCCCCUGGGCUAAGUGAGUCCUCUCUGAAGCCACGGGAGGGCCUGUACUGCCCUGGCUUCCAAGGUACCUGACGCCAGGUGGCAAGCGCUGUGGCCACGUGUGAGCCUUCCAGCCUGACACCUGGACCAUCCUGGGCGGGUUACUUCUACUGGAACGUGGAGCUGUUACUGCGAGGUUUCCCUUUCUGAGGAUGUUCCUGAUGAAGGAAAGGACACCAGACUCUACGUCCUUCUCCUCCAGGUGAUGUCCACUGUGCCACUGAAUGAAUCUAGCAAAGGAGUCUUUUAUAAAGUUUUUGAUUCUGAAGUGGAAUCAUUCAUAAAAGAUUGAGCAACUGUGGAGACCAGAAAACCUAGUCUUUUUAGUUGACUGAUGAGGAAACAGAGGCACAGAGAUGCUAAUGGUCACAGAGCAGGUGAUGGGCAGCUAAGACUUGAAAUCUCCUGCCCCGCUGCCUAGCCCAGCUCUGCAGGACCACUGCGAUGAUGCAAAGAGAGAUUCUCUCCACCAGGGAGUCUCGUUUCCAAAAUGUACGCAGGUUCAUUCAGCCUUGCACAUAAUUCCCCGAAGUGAUCAAGUCUGCAAGCGUACUCUAUUAGCCAAAGUUGUUAAGGGUCGGCCACAUUUACCAAUUAUCAUCCUCUUUCUCUCCCCUUCAUUCCCCACCUACUCUUUUCAAGUCCAACCCCCCACACCCCUGCCCAGUUUCCAAAUGACUAUUUAGAGUUUAGUCAUCGGGUCCUCAUUCGGACCAAUACAAGACUUGUGUCCAUGUGACACCAGUUUAUGGCUGGAGAUUAUUUCUGCUCCCAGAGUCAGCACCUCUUCUCCCGCCAGCUUCCCCUAAGGGCGGUGACUCCUGGGAGCUCUGGCUCUGACUUUGUGAACUCCUCUCCCGCUGGCGGUGUGCGAAGUAACCAUGGAACAGGUGGCAGCCUGUGCCUUAGCUUCUACAAAGCCAGUAACAAAAUGCAUUCCUGGAAAAAUCUAUAUUUCAGUAGUCACAUUAUUUACAUUUUUCAUUUAUUAAUCCUAUUAGGAAUGUUCCCUCCAGGAGUAGAAUAAAGGUGGAACAAAAAAGCAAGACAAAUGGGCAACUCUUGGGGGGGGACCUCCAUUCAAAGGCCUGCUGUUUCUCCUGGGCACAAGCUUAUAGAUCACCUCUGUGCAAAGAGGACGUCUGACUUGGUGCAGAUACGGGAACAUCUGUGGCUGAGUGUCUCCUGAAAACCCCCAAGAUCCUGCGAUAUCCCAGCCUAAGGGAAGCUGCCGCCAAACAUUUCUUUAGAAUUCCGGUGAUAGCCGUAUCAAAUGCGACAGGAAGUGUUGAAAAGACAAAAUACGGCUGAAUAAAUAAGCCGACGGGAAGGCAAGCGGGCAUGGGCUGUGCAGUUGGCUGGCUGGUGGUGACCGGCGAGCGGCGGGCUAAACACGGACCUGAAUUCCUCAGGAACACGGUGAACGGAACUGCCUUCGUUUCAGCCCCGAGCCCGGCACUCAGUCCGCCCGGGAUUAUCGCUGGUCCCCGGGGUCGUUGUUGCUGUUUCAUCCCCUGUCGAGGAAACACGACCCAUCCCUAGGGAUCAGCUCUCACGCUGUCUCUUCUGGUAAAGCUUUCCGGCAUCUGUGCCGUCUCCAAAGUCCUGCCAAGUUGGGCUUCACUCCUUUUUCCCAAUGUUUUAGUCCUCUGCCUACUCUCUGUCCCGUGUUGGACUGUUAGUACCACAAGAACUCUGAUUUUAACUCACCCUUUUUACCACCCCCAUGGCAUACAGCAGGGGCACAAUAAGUAAGCCACGCACUCACAGAAGUUGGCGGCCGCCAUAUUUAUUUGUUGGUAGUUUCUGCUUCUUCAUAUUAUAGCUUCAGAGAUGGGAGAAAGUUUUUAUAAACCAGAUAUGCACAGGGAAGGGAAAUUCUUUUUCUCACUUACCUUCAUGCUUUAGCCUUCUGGGAUUUUGAGAGAAAGGAAAGGAUUUUGGUCAAAAGAAAAAAAAAUCAAGAAGCACAACCCGGUCUUGUAAUAGAAGGUGGAGGCAUAAGUUUCCAAAGUUACAAUUUUCUCACCUCCAAGAUGAAUAAUACUUCCUAUUCUAACUACCUCGCAGGGCUAUCAUGAGGCUCAAAUAAGAUAAUAUGCAUCUGAAAGAUCCUUGCUAGUGGGAAAGCAUGAUACGGGUGUAAGGCAUUAUUAUCCCUUUAAUCUUUCUAUUCUCAUAAUGGAGAAAAUUUUCCAAAGACAAAUUGGGAGCUCAUUUCAGGCUCUCAGCUUCCUCUUGCUCCCUGACGCUCAUGACAAUUAAUGCUGCAGGAGAGCCUGGCUGAAUUCAGAUAAACAGCAGGUGAAACACAUUUGUCAACCCUCUAGCUCUGCCGAAAUUGGGCAGGAUACUCCUGCUGGUCUCUGGGACUCAUCACUGGUGGAGGCACCAGUUCACAUGAGAACACCACGGACGCCACCCUGGGUGAGACCUUUCGUUUCUCGCAUUCCUGUUUUCUGCUUUCACCAAGCCAGCGAGGGUGGUUCUGCAGGAGGGCGUGGUAGUUCUCCAUGAUCGUAGAACUUGCAAAGUCUGCAGAAGUGAAAUUCAGGGAGCUUUGCCCUGACCCUCUGCCCACUCUGGGACUGAGGGACCACUUCCCCCAGAUGCUGCGAGUCAUGAAGCGGAUGGCUCUCAGUGGAGCCCAAUCUGGGGACUGCCCUCAGCCUAAGAGAUAAGAGAGCCCCCUUUCCAAGGCCACAUCCCCUCCCAUAUCUGGUGAUUAGUCAGCGGCAGGGAAGGGUGGCGAUAAAGUCCUGGCUAUCCUAUCUCAAAGUGGGACAACUGUGAAGAGCCAUCCCCACUCCAAAGCUCCCCAGAGGAUCUGCUGAAAGCUCAGACUCAAUUUUAUUGCCACCCAACUUCUCCCUUUGCCUGGUCCUCUGUCCCUCACCCUUCACAGGUGAUGUUCUUGAAAUCACUACUCAAUAAAGGUCCUGCGUCCUGCUCUCUGAGAAGCUCCACAUAGGAGACCGCUCCGUUUUAUGGUGAAUGGGUUACUGGUCCACAGGGAUUGAUGCUCUCAGCCCUUGGAGAAGCUCAGUGGGUCCCGUGUCAACUCAUGUCCCCCAGAAAGUUGCCUUGGCCACAAGCAGCAUUCUCCAUUUACCCAAGGUUGCCAAACAAGCAUUAUUUUCUAGGUCCCAUGAUGAGAAAAGGGCUGGGAAGCACGCUCAGAAAUAAAUCUAUUUUAACACA